UACUCCUACGGGACGCAGCAGUGAGGAAUAUUGGUCAAUGGGCGGGAGCCUGAACCAGCCAAGCCGCGUGAGGGAAGAAGGUACAGCGUAUCGUAAACCUCUUUUGUCAGGGAACAAAGGCGGGGACUAGUCCCCGGAUGAGGGUACCUGAAGAAAAAGCAUCGGCUAACUCCGUGCCAGCAGCCGCGGUAAUACGGAGGAUGCGAGCGUUAUCCGGAUUUACUGGGUGUAAAGGGAGCGUAGGUGGCAGGGCAAGUCAGAUGUGAAAACCCGGGGCUCAACUCCGGGAGUGCAUUUGAAACUGU
rnacentral:rRNA from 1 species